GUGUCAGCAGCCGCGGUAAUACGAAGGGGGCUAGCGUUGUUCGGAUUUACUGGGCGUAAAGCGCGCGUAGGCGGGUCACUAAGUCAGGGGUGAAAUCCCGAGGCUUAACCUCGGAACUGCCUUUGAUACUGGUGACCUGGAGAUCGGGAGAGGUUGGUGGAAUUCCGAGUGUAGAGGUGAAAUUCGUAGAUAUUCGGAGGAACACCAGAAGCGAAGGCGGCCAACUGGCCCGAUACUGACGCUGAGGCGCGAAAGCGUGGGGAGCAAACAGGAUUAGAAACCCCCGUAGUCC
rnacentral:rRNA from 1 species